rnacentral:rRNA from 1 species
UCACUUAUUGAAGCCUAUGUAGCCCGUGAAACGGCUUGGUCCCACGACUAGAAAUAAAGGGAACCGUCGCAAGUCAGCAUUUAGUGUUGGCAACAUGAUCGAAUUGCGGGGAUCUCCUAAUGCUUACCAGUACCAACUACUUAACAAAGUAGGGCCUGUUCUACAGGGUGGUUAAAAUCUGGUAGGAUGUACCAAUGGAUUAUCCGCAGCGAAGCUCUUACAGCAUAGUCUAUAAGAGACCGUUCACAGACUAAGUGAUCAUGGGCAGUAUACUGUCUAAGAUAUAGUCGGUCCUAGCGAGAAAUCACUGGGGAGGUGUCACCAUUAGACCAUAAAAUACAUUUGCAACCGCUUAUAUCAUCGCAUUUGAAAACUAAGCUACACAAGCACCACUCUAGAAUCAUUGAGAGUAAAAUGGUGGAAUGGAUGAUGGAUAAUUUCCGCCCCAACUGCCAGGUGUUGCUGCAAAGUCCCGUUCCCCCAACCGCUCCUCCGCCUCUGCACCAGUCUCGUACUGUGUAGAGUAUUCCUCCUCCGCGUUCGCCUUGUAAUCCGACAGCCAGGUAUAAAAGUCAACAGAGCACAUUUUCAUGUGGUGAAGAUCGGCGCAAGUCGGCAUGAGCUUAUGAUCGAAAUGCUGCUGGGCUGCUUGGACUUGCUGUGGUGUAAUGCGGGCUCUGAUAUCGGCAUAGUUCACUUCAGGGCGGAAUUGGCGUUUGAGGAUGGUGUCGAUGUACAAAAAACAGUGGUGUCGUGCCUUGUUGUACUCGCCCCCCUCAGACAAGGUGUGGUUGGGGUUGAUGUUGCUAUUCCGUUAGUGGGGUAUCCUGAAAGUGGUGAAAACCUUACCGGGAUGUCCUCUUGCCACAAAACCGUGUGUGUGAGAUCUCCUGGUCUAUGCCAAAAGACAUAGGCCCAUGCUGGUGUGCAUAAGCCMCUAGGUGACAGUAGUAUUUAUUGCCGUCACCGCUCCAUCGAACUGCAUAAAAGUUAGCACUUWUCCGUGGAACCMCCRGKGAUGUGUGUACCUUGACUGUACUGGCUGGCUGCGUUGUCUUUGGUAGAAGCMUAAGGGGGGAAUUUGGGGAAGUCAAUGGGCCAGCGGGGACGCCACGUGCUGAAGUUCAGCGGGUUGUCAACCAAKGGACCAAGGAUUCCUCGKGUAAUAUCAYUACGACGAGAAACAGGCACAUGUGAGUUGACGGACCAGAAGUUGAUGCUAGCAUCACCGCGUUUGGUGUAGUCGAACAUUUGCUUAACCAUACUGGUCAAGUCCUCAAGACGGAAGAAGCAGAGUGGAUGAGUAGCCAUAGUGAUGAUGAUGUGUAGUAUAGGAGUGUUCAGAAGAAAGCAAGGUUGUGUGUUGUAAAAGUUAAGGAAGAAAGGAAGAGUAGAAGUUGAGAGGAGUAUUUAUGCUUCCUUAAAUCUCAGCUUUACUGUUCCUCUCUAACUUGAAGAUUCUGACUCGAAGCUCUUCGGUGAGUAAGGCUUAUCCUUUUGAGGAAGGCUCGAUUGACUCAAUAGGUUCAGCCUGACUCAAGGAUUCCAGGAAGUAAAAGUGAAUUUUACAAGUGGAUUCCAGCGGUUAAGUACUGUCUAAUGUCAGAAUUUCCUCAACAACAUAGCUUAUUCUCCUUUUAACACUUGUUGGAUUGUAUUUUUAGUGUUUAAUGGCUCGUMAMAASGUUUCCGUAGGUGAACCUGCGGAAGGAUCAUUAAUAAGGAUACCGGGCAACCGGUAACCCCACCCGUGUCUAUCUACUCUUGUUGCUUUGGCAGGCCGUGGUCUCCACGGCGGGCUCUMRCCCGCYAGYGCYUGCCAGAGGACCAAACUCUGAAUWUUAGUGAUGUCUGAGUACUAUAUAAUAGUUAAAACUUUCAACAACGGAUCUCUUGGUUCUGGCAUCGAUGAAGAACGCAGCGAAAUGCGAUAAGUAAUGUGAAUUGCAGAAUUCAGUGAAUCAUCGAAUCUUUGAACGCACAUUGCGCCCGGUGGUAUUCCGCCGGGCAUGCCUGUUCGAGCGUCAUUAUAACCACUCAAGCCUGGCUUGGUAUUGGGGUACGCGAUCCCGCGGCCCCUAAAAUCAGUGGCGGUGCCGGUUGGCUCUAAGCGUAGUAAUACUYCUCGCUAYAGACYYYUUCCGGUUCCCUGCCAGAACCCCYYAUUUUUACAGGUUGACCUCGGAUCAGGUAGGGAUACCCGCUGAACUUAAGCAUAUC